UAAGGUAGCGAAAUUCCUUGUCGGGUAAGUUCCGACCCGCACGAAAGGCGUAACGAUUUGGGCACUGUCUCAACGAGAGACUCGGUGAAAUCAUAGUACCUGUGAAGAUGCAGGUUACCCGCGACAGGACGGAAAGACCCCGUGGAGCUUUACUGUAGCCUGAUAUUGAAAUUCGGCACAGCUUGUACAGGAUAGGUAGGAGCCUUUGAAACGUGAGCGCUAGCUUACGUGGAGGCGCUGGUGGGAUACUACCCUAGCUGUGUUGGCUUUCUAACCCGCACCACUUAUCGUGGUGGGAGACAGUGUCAAGCGGGCAGUUUGACUGGGGCGGUCGCCUCCUAAAAGGUAACGGAGGCGCUCAAAGGUUCCCUCAGAAUGGUUGGAAAUCAUUCAUAGAGUGUAAAGGCAUAAGGGAGCUUGACUGCGAGACCUACAAGUCGAGCAGGGUCGAAAGACGGACUUAGUGAUCCGGUGGUUCCGCAUGGAAGGGCCAUCGCUCAACGGAUAAAAGCUACCCCGGGGAUAACAGGCUUAUCUCCCCCAAGAGUUCACAUCGACGGGGAGGUUUGGCACCUCGAUGUCGGCUCAUCGCAUCCUGGGGCUGUAGUCGGUCCCAAGGGUUGGGCUGUUCGCCCAUUAAAGCGGUACGCGAGCUGGGUUCAGAACGUCGUGAGACAGUUCGGUCCCUAUCCGUCGUGGGCGUAGGAAAUUUGAGAGGAGCUGUCCUUAGUACGAGAGGACCGGGAUGGACAUACCUCUGGUGUACCAGUUGUCGUGCCAACGGCAUAGCUGGGUAGCUAUGUGUGGACGGGAUAAGUGCUGAAAGCAUCUAAGCAUGAAGCCCCCCUCAAGAUGAGAUUUCCCAACUUCGGUUAUAAGAUCCCUCAAAGAUGAUGAGGUUAAUAGGUUCGAGGUGGAAGCAUGGUGACAUGUGGAGCUGACGAAUACUAAUCGAUCGAAGACUUAAUCAA
rnacentral:rRNA from 1 species